CCGCCUGUCACACUGACAGGCAGCAUGAGCAGAAGCUCUUCACACUAUGGUCUCCCCCCACGCUCCUCCCCGCUGCACUAGUCAAAACAGGCAGCAGUGUCGCCCCUCCAGUCCUCCCUCCCCACUGAAGACACAGCAUCUUCAGCAUCACUCACCCCUCCUUUACGUAUGGGACAGCAAUGCACAGACAGGAAGUCAUGUGAUGUGCACUGACUGGAGGAGCCAGCAGCCACAGGAAGAGGAGCAGCCAGCCACACAGAGGGACGAAGACUCUGCAGAGGCUCAGGAUACCUCCCAGCUAGAUGUCUGUUGAACAACCAGCAGAUAAUGCAAGUACACACACCUUUCCAUAAAUUGUCUUGAAUUUUUGCUUCACUUCUUGCCGCUGAUCAGAAGACCUGUUUGCCAAAAUUUCAAUGAUUGCCUGUUCAUUGGUUCCUGGGAAAACAGACAGGUAACAACUGGUUGCUGUGGUAACGAAUUUGACGGUUACACACGCCAGCACGUGUGGAGGGGAUAUAUGGGAAACAGGUUAUUGCUGUAAUAAAAGCACGCGGUCUCAGCUUUACUCUUACUGUGGCAGACUGCUGACGUCGUGUGCACUCACACAUACCUGACAUUACUGCGUAUGAUACAGGUGACUUAGACUGAGGUGGUAAGCGCUGGUGUUUCAGCUUCUGGAUCUCUUGUUUUCUUUUGCAGGUGACUCAGACUGAGGUGUUUCAGCCCAUGGAUCUCUUGUAAAGACUAGGGCUCAGUUCCCCGGGUGUUCAAUUAUUUUGUGUGGUCUAUAAAUUAAAUUAAAAUGUAUAUUAUUAUUAUUACACAAGUGGGUUAUAAAUUCUUUGAAUGUAAAUAUCUCCUUGACAAAACUGUCAAAGGAUAAUGAUGUAAUAUAAUAUUUAUUUGUGGAAUAAACCAGCGCUUUAUAUAUUUUAACCUCAUAUGAUUGACUGUGAAUUAGAUAUUGUUGCAAGUGGCAUCCAGUGUUAUAGUGAUUAGGCAUCCAAUGUUAUCUAGAUGUAAUACACCUGUGCCUUUUUAUUGACUAAUGAGGGAAAAAGUCCAAUUUGGAUGAGGGGGAUAUAAGGAUAUUUGUUCUACAGUCAAAUCACUGUUUGGAAAAGCACCUAAGGGUGUGAAACGCGUUAGGGGGAACAGCACCCGGUCAUCUUUUAAAAGGGCUGUGUUUUGUUGGAAGCAGCUACGGACUGGUUGACCCUGUGGGCAACUGCCGAGAAACGUGGGCGCCAAAAGUGCCUGCACGCCGACGAUAUUCACCUGGAGCCGCCAGCUGGGUCCUAGUGGUGAGAGACGGAGAUAACCAGGAAGGUGGCGGGUGUUGCUAAGCUACGGCACACAGCCUGUCUACAAGCGGCUCCAGCUUUGACAUACAGUGGCCAGGAGUAACGCGGGCAGGUGAGGCUACAUCACUUAUUGCCACGGGCAGCACGGACCUGUGCCUAUGUAAUGCGUACUGGAUUGGUAAGCUACCCAAUUCAAGUUUCGCUGCUACACUGUUAGCUGGAUCCAGCAUCUGACUUUCUACAUAUAUAUGAGAAUAUAAAGGAUAUAACAUGAUAUCACCUGAAGUAGAAACUUGUUGGAACAAUAUUUAUACACCUAAAGUUUUUAGAUAAAGUGAAUGAGCGCUUGUGCUUAAAGAAAUAAAGAAAUAAAAAAGAAAUAAAAUUAAAUGUACAUGGCACCUUUGAAGAAAAAGUUUGGUUAGAAACUCAAUGUUUACAGCUCCUUUUGGUUACAUCAGAUGUAACUUUCCCUAUCUUACCCUAUUUCCACGGAGAUAGUGUUGUUUCGUCCCUCCCGCGGCUCCAUGUGUGUGUUUCCGUCGCGCUUCCGCUGCAUUUCGAGCCGCUAAAAUAACAAAGCGCGGACCAUCAAUCGUUUUCAUAAAGUUUUUAUAUGUUUUUUUCUGAUGCUCUACUGUCACGUGACAUUUUUAUCAAAGUAUAACAUUGGAUGCCAUAGUCAGAUGUAGUUACAU